UUGUAAUUUCAUCCCCUUUGAUUUUAUUGCAUUUUCUUUAAUUCAUUCUUGGUCCACAUUCUUUUUAUUGCUACACUCUUAUCCUUUUUCUUGAUUUAUUUUUUUUUUCAAUUCUAUCCCUCAACAUUUAAUUUUAUUUGGUUCUUUAUCCAGUUUUGGUCUUCAUUCUUUCAAUAACAUUUUUGUAUCAUUUUCUUAGUUUUGUUUUUGGUUUUUC
rnacentral:lncRNA from 1 species